CAGGAGACAAGCAAGAAGGGAUGGGUAUGACAUGGAAGAAAAGAAGCUGUAAUACCUGGCCUGGAGAUCCUUCCCGCACUGCCGCCUUUACUGCUGCCGAUGCUGUCACCUCGGCUUUACCCCUUUCCUUUGGAAUGCCAAAAGUAGAAUGGGAAACAAGAAAGAAGUAUAAGUUAGGUACUCUCCAGGAACAGAACCAGACCUGAAGUGAGAGACAACAGCUACAUCUCAAUGGACAAAGGUAAAGGUAGAAAACCCUCUUUGGGCUAUGGUUGAAUAAUUUGGAAGAUGGACUUUUCUGACUCAGAAUGGAAGUCUACAUAAUAGGAGGCACAGUGGGUCAUGCCUAUGAUCCCAGCACUUUAGGAGGCUGUGGCGGAAGGAUCACUUGAGCACAGGAGUUUGAGACCAGUCUGGGCAACAUAGUGAGACCCCAUCUCUACAAAAAAUAAAAAAGUUAGCCAGGCGUGGUAAUGCGUGCCUGUAAUCCCAGCUACUCGGGAGGCUGAGGCAAGAGGAUCGUUUGAGCCCAGGAAGUUGAAG
rnacentral:lncRNA from 1 species